rnacentral:rRNA from 1 species
AUUGAACGCUGGCGGCAUGCCUUACACAUGCAAGUUGAACGGCAGCACGGGAGCAAUCCUGGUGGCGAGUGGCGAACGGGUGAGUAAAGUAUCGGAACGUGCCCAGUCGUGGGGGAUAACGUAGCGAAAGUUACGCUAAUACCGCAUACGAUCUAUGGAUGAAAGCGGGGGAUCGCAAGACCUCGCGCGAUUGGAGCGGCCGAUAUCAGAUUAGGUAGUUGGUGGGGUAAAGGCCCACCAAGCCGACGAUCUGUAGCUGGUCUGAGAGGACGACCAGCCACACUGGGACUGAGACACGGCCCAGACUCCUACGGGAGGCAGCAGUGGGGAAUUUUGGACAAUGGGCGAAAGCCUGAUCCAGCCAUGCCGCGUGCAGGAUGAAGGCCUUCGGGUUGUAAACUGCUUUUGUACGGAACGAAAAGGACUGCCCUAAUACGGUGGUCCCAUGACGGUACCGUAAGAAUAAGCACCGGCUAACUACGUGCCAGCAGCCGCGGUAA